rnacentral:rRNA from 1 species
GACGAACGCUGGCGGCGUGCUUAACACAUGCAAGUCGAACGGAAAGGCCCUGCUUUUGUGGGGUGCUCGAGUGGCGAACGGGUGAGUAACACGUGAGUAACCUGCCCUUGACUUUGGGAUAACUUCAGGAAACUGGGGCUAAUACCGGAUAGGAGCUCCUGCUGCAUGGUGGGGGUUGGAAAGUUUCGGCGGUUGGGGAUGGACUCGCGGCUUAUCAGCUUGUUGGUGGGGUAGUGGCUUACCAAGGCUUUGACGGGUAGCCGGCCUGAGAGGGUGACCGGCCACAUUGGGACUGGGAUACGGCCCAGACUCCUACGGGAGGCAGCAGUGGGGAAUAGUGCACAAUGGGCGGAGGCCUGAUGCAGCAACGCCGCGUGCGGGAUGACGGCCUUCGGGUUGUAAACCGCUUUCGCCUGUGACGAAGCGUGAGUGACGGUAAUGGGUAAAGAAGCACCGGCUAACUACGUG